rnacentral:rRNA from 1 species
UAACAGGUCUGUGAUGCCCUUAGAUGCCCUGGGCCGCACGCGCUACACUGACGAUGGCAACGAGUCGCUCCUUCACCGAAAGGUGUGGGUAAUCUUGUGAAUCAUCGUCGUGCUGGGGAUAGAUCAUUGUAAUUCUUGAUCUUGAACGAGGAAUUCCUAGUAAGCGCGAGUCAUCAGCUCGCGUUGAUUACGUCCCUGCCCUUUGUACACACCGCCCGUCGCUACUACCGAUUGAAUGGUUUAGUGAGGCCUCCGGAUUGGCACUGUCAGAUGGGCUUCGGCUCAUCCGACGGACGUCAAAAAGUUGGUCAAACUUGAUCAUUUAGAGGAAGUAAAAGUCGUAACAAGGUUUCCGUAGGUGAACCUGCGGAAGGAUCAUCAUCGUU